ensembl:lncRNA
AUUACAGUACAUUUUAACACUGUACUACUCCUGUCACCGUUUUGUUCCACAGUUUACCCACUUUAAAAGUUAUUGCUGUUACCUUGAACUAAAACCAGAAUCUUGCUGUAUUUGUUGAGUUUACAGUGUACCUGUGGUCACAGGGUGUCCUUUUCAAGCCAAUAUUAGACAAAACAGUCUUUACUUCAAGUAAAACGCAAAGCAGCACAAGUUUUCUCAGCUCUCUUUCCAAGUCUGUCUUGAGGCCUCACUCUGAUGCUGAGAGCUGAAACCUCAGCUUCAAAGCUCUGUCUGUCAGCUGAUUGGCUGACACAGCGAACAAACAAACUCCAAACUCACUGAAAGCCUAUUGCUGGUGCUGACAGAACAUUUUCAUCCCAUUUCUGUAUCCCUCCACUGGCACACACAGAUAUGUUGCUGUGAAGUAAAACACCCUGCUGUGUGUGCGUAUGUUGGACAGAAUGUUGGAUUCCUAUCAAGCUAUGUUGGAGGAUCUAAAACAGGCACUUCUUAUUAUCACUCACACUUUAUUUAAUACAUCUGCAAAGGCUCCAAUGCAAAACGAAAUGGUAUAUACAUAUAUAUAUAAAAAAAAAAAAACACCCAGCACGCCCCUGCGGGCGGUUUAUCCUUCAAGCUCGGGUCCUCUACCAGAGGCCUGGGAGCUUGAGGGUCCUGCGCAGUAUCUUAGCUGUUCCCAGGACUGCGCUCUUCUGGACAGAGAUCUCCGAUGUUAUUCCCGGGAUCUGCUGGAGCCACUCGCCUAGCUUGGGAGUCACCGCACCUAGUGCUCCGAUUACCACGGGGACCACCGUUACCUUCACCCUCCACAUCCUCUCGAGCUCUUCUCUGAGCCCUUGGUAUUUCUCCAGCUUCUCGUGUUCCUUCUUCCUGAUAUUGCUGUCAUUCGGAACCGCUACAUCGAUCACUACGGCCGUCUUCUUCUGUUUGUCUACCACCACUAUGUCCGGUUGGUUAGCCACCACCAUUUUGUCCGUCUGUAUCUGGAAGUCCCACAGGAUCUUAGCUCGGUCAUUCUCCACCACCCUUGGGGGCAUCUCCCAUUUUGACCUUGGGACUUCCAGGUUAUACUCGGCACAGAUGUUCCUGUACACUAUGCCGGCCACUUGGUUAUGGCGUUCCAU